GCCGGCGUAGCUCAAUGGCAGAGCAACUGAUUUGUAAUCAGUAGGUUGUUGGUUCGACUCCGAUCGCCGGCUCCA
rnacentral:tRNA from 1 species